CAAAAAAUGUCAUAGUAUAGUAAGGCUUCAAAAAUUGUCAAAAAAUGUCAUAGUAUAGUAAGGCUUCAAAAAAUGUCAUAGUAUAGUAAGGCUUCAAAAAUUGUCAUAGUAUAGUAAGGCUUCAAAAAUUGUCAAAAAAUGUCA